UACAGAGGUCCCAAGCGUUGUUCGGAUUCACUGGGCGUAAAGGGUGCGUAGGCGGUCGGGUAAGUCUGAUGUGAAAUCUCACAGCUUAACUGUGAAACUGCAUUGGAUACUAUCCGGCUCGAGGAAUGGAGGGGAGACUGGAAUACUUGGUGUAGCAGUGAAAUGCGUAGAUAUCAAGAGGAACACCUGAGGUGAAGACGGGUUGCUGGGCCGACACUGACGCUGAGUGCGCGAAAGCCAGGGGAGCAAACGGG
rnacentral:rRNA from 1 species